AGAACGAACGCUGGCGGCAGGCCUAAAACAUGCAAGUCGAGCGCCCAGCAAUGGGAGCGGCGGACGGGUGAGUAACACGUGGGAACGUACCUUUCGGUUCGGAACAACUCAGGGAAACUUGAGCUAAUGCCGAAUUCGCCCUAACGGGGAAAGAUUUAUCGCCGAAAGAUCGGCCCGCGUAAGAUUAGCUAGUUGGUGAGGUAACGGCCCACCAAGGCGACGAUCUUUAGCUGGUUUGAGAGAACGACCAGCCACACUGGGACUGAGACACGGCCCAGACUCCUACGGGAGGCAGCAGUUGGGAAUCUUGGACAAUGGGGGAAACCCUGAUCCAGCCAUGCCGCGUGAGUGAUGAAGGCCUUCGGGUUGUAAACUCUUUCGACGGGACGAUAAUGACGGUACCCGUAGAAGAAGCUCCGGCUAACUUCGCGCCAGCAGCCGC
rnacentral:rRNA from 1 species